rnacentral:ribozyme from 1 species
CUCUUCCCUCCUCCUUGUUUUCCUCCUUUCCCUUGGCCUUUGCCCUAAGUCCUCUUUCCUUCCCCUUUACCUAAACUCAAAAAAAAAAAAAUUAUGGAU